rnacentral:tRNA from 1 species
GACCGCGUAGCUCAGUUGGCAGAGCAUUUGGCUAGUAUUCCAAACGUCGUAGGUUCGAUUCCAACCGUGGCCA